GGGUUGUGAGGUUAAGCGACUAAGCGUACACGGUGGAUGCCCUGGCAGUCAGAGGCGAUGAAGGACGUGCUAAUCUGCGAUAAGCGUCGGUGAGGUGAUAUGAACCGUUAUAACCGGCGAUUUCCGAAUGGGGAAACCCAGUGUGUUUCGACACACUAUCAUUAACUGAAUCCAUAGGUUAAUGAGGCGAACCGGGGGAACUGAAACAUCUAAGUACCCCGAGGAAAAGAAAUCAACCGAGAUUCCCCCAGUAGCGGCGAGCGAACGGGGAGGAGCCCAGAGCCUGAAUCAGUGUGUGUGUUAGUGGAAGCGUCUGGAAAGGCGUGCGAUACAGGGUGACAGCCCCGUACACAAAAAUGCACAUAUUGUGAGCUCGAUGAGUAGGGCGGGACACGUGGUAUCCUGUCUGAAUAUGGGGGGACCAUCCUCCAAGGCUAAAUACUCCUGACUGACCGAUAGUGAACCAGUACCGUGAGGGAAAGGCGAAAAGAACCCCGGCGAGGGGAGUGAAAAAGAACCUGAAACCGUGUACGUACAAGCAGUGGGAGCCUCUUAAUGGGGUGACUGCGUACCUUUUGUAUAAUGGGUCAGCGACUUAUAUUCUGUAGCAAGGUUAACCGAAUAGGGGAGCCGAAGGGAAACCGAGUCUUAACUGGGCGUUAAGUUGCAGGGUAUAGACCCGAAACCCGGUGAUCUAGCUAUGGGCAGGUUGAAGGUUGGGUAACACUAACUGGAGGACCGAACCGACUAAUGUUGAAAAAUUAGCGGAUGACUUGUGGCUGGGGGUGAAAGGCCAAUCAAACCGGGAGAUAGCUGGUUCUCCCCGAAAGCUAUUUAGGUAGCGCCUCGUGAAUUCAUCUCCGGGGGUAGAGCACUGUUUCGGCAAGGGGGUCAUCCCGACUUACCAACCCGAUGCAAACUGCGAAUACCGGAGAAUGUUAUCACGGGAGACACACGGCGGGUGCUAACGUCCGUCGUGAAGAGGGAAACAACCCAGACCGCCAGCUAAGGUCCCAAAGUCAUGGUUAAGUGGGAAACGAUGUGGGAAGGCCCAGACAGCCAGGAUGUUGGCUUAGAAGCAGCCAUCAUUUAAAGAAAGCGUAAUAGCUCACUGGUCGAGUCGGCCUGCGCGGAAGAUGUAACGGGGCUAAACCAUGCACCGAAGCUGCGGCAGCGACACUAUGUGUUGUUGGGUAGGGGAGCGUUCUGUAAGCCUGUGAAGGUGGCCUGUGAGGGUUGCUGGAGGUAUCAGAAGUGCGAAUGCUGACAUAAGUAACGAUAAAGCGGGUGAAAAGCCCGCUCGCCGGAAGACCAAGGGUUCCUGUCCAACGUUAAUCGGGGCAGGGUGAGUCGACCCCUAAGGCGAGGCCGAAAGGCGUAGUCGAUGGGAAACAGGUUAAUAUUCCUGUACUUGGUGUUACUGCGAAGGGGGGACGGAGAAGGCUAUGUUGGCCGGGCGACGGUUGUCCCGGUUUAAGCGUGUAGGCUGGUUUUCCAGGCAAAUCCGGAAAACCAAGGCUGAGGCGUGAUGACGAGGCACUACGGUGCUGAAGCGACAAAUGCCCUGCUUCCAGGAAAAGCCUCUAAGCAUCAGGUAACAUCAAAUCGUACCCCAAACCGACACAGGUGGUCAGGUAGAGAAUACCAAGGCGCUUGAGAGAACUCGGGUGAAGGAACUAGGCAAAAUGGUGCCGUAACUUCGGGAGAAGGCACGCUGAUAUGUAGGUGAAGCGACUUGCUCGUGGAGCUGAAAUCAGUCGAAGAUACCAGCUGGCUGCAACUGUUUAUUAAAAACACAGCACUGUGCAAACACGAAAGUGGACGUAUACGGUGUGACGCCUGCCCGGUGCCGGAAGGUUAAUUGAUGGGGUUAGCGGCAACGCGAAGCUCUUGAUCGAAGCCCCGGUAAACGGCGGCCGUAACUAUAACGGUCCUAAGGUAGCGAAAUUCCUUGUCGGGUAAGUUCCGACCUGCACGAAUGGCGUAAUGAUGGCCAGGCUGUCUCCACCCGAGACUCAGUGAAAUUGAACUCGCUGUGAAGAUGCAGUGUACCCGCGGCAAGACGGAAAGACCCCGUGAACCUUUACUAUAGCUUGACACUGAACAUUGAGCCUUGAUGUGUAGGAUAGGUGGGAGGCUUUGAAGUGUGGACGCCAGUCUGCAUGGAGCCGACCUUGAAAUACCACCCUUUAAUGUUUGAUGUUCUAACGUUGGCCCGUAAUCCGGGUUGCGGACAGUGUCUGGUGGGUAGUUUGACUGGGGCGGUCUCCUCCUAAAGAGUAACGGAGGAGCACGAAGGUUGGCUAAUCCUGGUCGGACAUCAGGAGGUUAGUGCAAUGGCAUAAGCCAGCUUGACUGCGAGCGUGACGGCGCGAGCAGGUGCGAAAGCAGGUCAUAGUGAUCCGGUGGUUCUGAAUGGAAGGGCCAUCGCUCAACGGAUAAAAGGUACUCCGGGGAUAACAGGCUGAUACCGCCCAAGAGUUCAUAUCGACGGCGGUGUUUGGCACCUCGAUGUCGGCUCAUCACAUCCUGGGGCUGAAGUAGGUCCCAAGGGUAUGGCUGUUCGCCAUUUAAAGUGGUACGCGAGCUGGGUUUAGAACGUCGUGAGACAGUUCGGUCCCUAUCUGCCGUGGGCGCUGGAGAACUGAGGGGGGCUGCUCCUAGUACGAGAGGACCGGAGUGGACGCAUCACUGGUGUUCGGGUUGUCAUGCCAAUGGCACUGCCCGGUAGCUAAAUGCGGAAGAGAUAAGUGCUGAAAGCAUCUAAGCACGAAACUUGCCCCGAGAUGAGUUCUCCCUGACUCCUUGAGAGUCCUGAAGGAACGUUGAAGACGACGACGUUGAUAGGCCGGGUGUGUAAGCGCAGCGAUGCGUUGAGCUAACCGGUACUAAUGAACCGUGAGGCUUAACCUUACAACGCCGAAG
rnacentral:rRNA from 1 species